rnacentral:rRNA from 1 species
UUGAAAGGGAAACGAUUGAAGUGAGUCGUAUCGACGCGAAAUCCACCUAUUCCAGCUUGUAUUAGUGGCCUUUGGGGGGCUNUUAAAGCCCCUAUCUUUUUCCAAUUCGUACUUUUUGGGUUUCUUUUUCGUGAGGUUGCCAACGUCAAUUUCGAUCCUCAUAAAAUGAUUGGAGGAAUGUAGCUUCGAUCUCGUAUUGAAGUGUUAUAGCCUUCGGUAGAUGUGGUGAUCGAAACUGAGGAUUGCAACGAAUACCCUUUGGGCUAUCCGUCUGACCUCUGGAAGUUGCUUGGGUCCGAAAGCUUGCCUAAGGUUAUUUAACGACGGUCAAUAGUUUAGAGUGUGAGCAAAUUCGUUAAGGAUGUUGACGUA